GACGAACGCUGGCGGCGUGCUUAACACAUGCAAGUCGAGCGGUAAGGCCCUUUCGGGGGUACACGAGCGGCGAACGGGUGAGUAACACGUGGGUGACCUGCCCUCAGCUCUGGGAUAAGCCUGGGAAACCGGGUCUAAUACUGGAUAUGACUCCAUGACGCAUGUUGUGGGGUGGAAAGCCUUGUGCGGCUGAGGAUGGGCCCGCGGCCUAUCAGCUUGUUGGUGGGGUGAUGGCCUACCAAGGCGACGACGGGUAGCCGGCCUGAGAGGGCGAUCGGCCACACUGGGACUGAGACACGGCCCAGACUCCUACGGGAGGCAGCAGUGGGGAAUCUUGCGCAAUGGGCGAAAGCCUGACGCAGCGACGCCGCGUGAGGGAUGACGGCCUGG
rnacentral:rRNA from 1 species